rnacentral:rRNA from 1 species
UACGAAGGGGGCUAGCGUUGCUCGGAAUCACUGGGCGUAAAGCGCACGUAGGCGGCUUGUUAAGUCGGGGGUGAAAUCCUGGAGCUCAACUCCAGAACUGCCUUUGAUACUGGCGAGCUUGAGUUCGGGAGAGGUGAGUGGAACUGCGAGUGUAGAGGUGAAAUUCGUAGAUAUUCGCAAGAACACCAGUGGCGAAGGCGGCUCACUGGCCCGAUACUGACGCUGAGGUGCGAAAGCGUGGGGAGCGAACAGG